GACGAACGCUGGCGGCGUGCUUAACACAUGCAAGUCGAACGGUAAGGCCCUUCGGGGUACACGAGUGGCGAACGGGUGAGUAACACGUGGGUGAUCUGCCCUGCACUUCGGGAUAAGCCUGGGAAACUGGGUCUAAUACCGGAUAGGACCACUGCCUGCAUGGGUGGGGGUGGAAAGCUUUUGCGGUGUGGGAUGGGCCCGCGGCCUAUCAGCUUGUUGGUGGGGUGAUGGCCUACCAAGGCGACGACGGGUAGCCGGCCUGAGAGGGUGACCGGCCACACUGGGACUGAGAUACGGCCCAGACUCCUACGGGAGGCAGCAGUGGGGAAUAUUGCACAAUGGGCGCAAGCCUGAUGCAGCGACGCCGCGUGAGGGAUGACGGCCUUCGGGUUGUAAACCUCUUUCAGCAGGGAAGAAGCGAAAGUGACGGUACCUGCAGAAGAAGCACCGGCUAACUACGUGCCAGCCGCCGCGGUAA
rnacentral:rRNA from 1 species